AAGUUUUUAUAUACUACUGCUAAUAGUAUUUUAAAGAUUUUUUCUCAGCUUU
rnacentral:tRNA from 1 species